rnacentral:tRNA from 1 species
UUUACACCCCUCCAGCACAGAGUACGUACAAUAGGAACUACCCGACGGAGUUAACAUCGAGGACCUCACCACCACCACCUCCAUCAGUCGAGUCUUCCCCCUGACGUCACCUCUCUCGUCUCAGCUCACACAUAACGCAAAUUAAACAAAGGUAAACUAUGAAGGUAAAAUCAAGACAAGACUGUGUGUGUGUUAUCUAAGGAGCUAGAAGACUGUUGUUGGUAAGAAACUGUUGAUAUCUUGUCUUGUUUGGCAAUUAUGGAAAUCCCGAAGUUAUUUAUUUUUUCAUUGUUUGUAAACCCAACGUUAUCAUUAUCCCUGUAUGUAAACCAAUGUUGUUAUCAUUAUCACUUUAUGUAAACCUCAGUAAACCACACAUCUUCUGCUUCAAUAUAUUAAUUUUCCAAGUCUGUUGUGUUCUCUUUCCUUCGUUCUUUCAACAAGUUUCCUUUAAACACUUGUAGCUGUCACGGACGCCAAACAAAUCAACUAUGUAAUGGUCUUCACUAUCAUGUAUGUUUACUUAUAGUCAGUAUGAUGUGGGAAUAUUUUUAUGGCUCCAUUCAAUAACAAGGUAACAGUCAGCGACCAGUCAGAGGGAAAUUGAAAUUACAACUGUCAUAUUAGUCAGGAUAAUACAAAUAAUAGAGAUAAUAUUAUCUUUAGACCGAAUUAGCACCUCAUAUAGCCUCGAUGGCGCAGUAGGCAGCGCGUGAGUCUCAUAAUCUCAAGGUCGUGAGUUCGAUCCUCACUCGGGGCAAGAAAAUUUUGAACGACCUGUGGUGCAAUGGUCAGCAUGCUCGCUUCGCAAACGGACGAGGUGAAACUAUAGGCAAGUUACUAUACACCAUUUCACAAUGUCUAUCCAGCAUGUUAAUGGUUAGCCAGUGAAGUUGUCCGGUUUUCUCUGACUAUUCCUUAACACUGGGUCAUGCAACUCGUUAAUAUAGGGCGUUGUGUUGGCGACAAACAAAUUCACGCCUAGGUGGUCCUUGGGUCAGCUAUCCUCGAACACGAGGGGCAACCAUUACUUAUUAUUUAUGUAGACUCAAUAUUGUUAACAUCUCUAUCAUUAUUUCUUGUACCUGGAUGAUUAUGUCUUCAACUUUGAUAUAGUAUGAUUUAGUAGAUACCUAUUUGAGCAGUAGGAGUGUAUAAAAAUAAUAACAUUAGAAAUCUGUUUUACUUACCUUUAGUAAUAAAGUUAACUGCAGCCUUACGGAGUCCAUUAUCUCUACCUUGGUGACAAUAUAAAUAAUUCCCAGUCUUGAGGUAGUGCACCAUCUGUUGUAGGCAGGUGUCCAUGCCCUUGUGCACCAUGAUCUUUCUUGUAAUAAAACAUAUUUCUUAUAAACCUUCAUUUAAUGUACUCAACUCCAAACACCAAUAUAGUCUCCCACAUUGCUCCUUUAAACUAAUUCCAUCAGAUCAUGGGACUAAAUAAUAUUAUUCAUAUUUAUAUUAAUUGUACAUUUAGGCUAUAUUCAAGAUUUUCUAAAUAUAUUUUUUGAAUAUCAACCAAUAUAUUAAAAGUUUUUUGUAGGUGCACUAUUGGUAUAAACAAAAAUAAUUAAUGAUAUGGAAAACAUGUUAUUACCACCAAAUGAUUGUUGUGAUUGUCAACUUGCCAGAUAAUAAAUGUAUAAGCUGAUUAAGAAUGUCAAAUAAAGAUAAAAUAAUUGAGAAA